GUUAGGAAUAUUCGUCAAUGGGGGAAACCCUGAACGAGCAAUGCCGCGUGAGUGAUGAAGGCCCUUCGGGUUGUAAAACUCUGUUGUUUGGAAAGAACUGUAAGAAUAGGAAAUGAUUCUUACUUGACGGUACCAUUCAAGAAAGCCACGGCUAACUACGUGCCAGCAGCCGCGGUAAUACGUAGGUGGCGAGCGUUAUCCGGAUUUAUUGGGCGUAAAGCGUGCGCAGGCGGUUUGUUAAGUCUAAAAUCAAAGCCCGAAGCUUAACUUCGGUUCGUUUUAGAAACUGGCAGGCUUGAGUAUGGUAGAGGCAAACGGAAUUUCUAGUGUAGCGGUAAAAUGCGUAGAUAUUAGAAGGAACACCAGUGGCGAAGGCGGUUUGCUGGGCCAUUACUGACGCUCAUGCACGAAAGCGUGGGGAGCAAAUAGGA
rnacentral:rRNA from 1 species